rnacentral:rRNA from 1 species
UUGUAGGCUGCAACUCGCCUACAUGAAGUCGGAAUUGCUAGUAAUCGCGGAUCAGCAUGCCGCGGUGAAUACGUUCCCGGGCCUUGUACACACCGCCCGUCACACCAUGAGAGCCGGUAACACCCGAAGUCAGUAGCCUAACCGCAAGGGGGCGCUGCCGAAGGUGGGAUUGGUAAUUGGGGUGAAGUCGUAACAAGGUAGC